UACGGGGGGGGCAAGCGUUGUUCGGAAUUACUGGGCGUAAAGGGCGCGUAGGCGGCCAACUAAGUCAGACGUGAAAUCCCUCGGCUUAACCGGGGAACUGCAUCUGAUACUGGAUGGCUUGAGUUCGGGAGAGGGAUGCGGAAUUCCAGGUGUAGCGGUGAAAUGCGUAGAUAUCUGGAGGAACACCGGUGGCGAAGGCGGCAUCCUGGACCGGCACUGACGCUGAGGAGCGAAAGCCAGGGGAGCAAACGGG
rnacentral:rRNA from 1 species